CAGAUACUAUGAUGGUUGCAUAGUUCAGCAGAUUGACUUGUGACGAGAUGUACCAUUUGUCUGAUGUGUCUG
rnacentral:snoRNA from 1 species